GGCAAAAUGAGGGUUCAACUGUCUCUUAUAAUACAUCAAUUAAACUGAUCUUCUAGUACAAAAGCUAGAAUACUAACAUAAGACCAGAAGACCCUGUGAAGCUUUAACUAAACUAUUAAACCACUUAAUAACUACUUUCGGUUGGGGCGACCUUGGAAUAAAAAAGAACUUCCAAAUAUCAACAUUACAUUAAAGGCAGACAAGCCCACAUAAGACCCAGCAUAGCUGACAAUUGAACCAAGUUACUCCAGGGAUAACAGCGCUAUCUUCUUCAAGAGCCCAUAUCAAAAAGAAGGUUUACGACCUCGAUGUUGGAUCAGGACAUCCUAGCAAUGCAACCGUUACUAAGGGUUCGUUUGUUCAACGAUUAAUAGUCCUACGUGA
rnacentral:rRNA from 1 species